rnacentral:rRNA from 1 species
UUCCGGUUGAUCCUGCCGGACCUGACUGCUAUCGGAUUGGUACUAAGCCAUGUGAGUCGUUGUAGCAAUACAAGGCAUACGGCUCAGUAACACGUAGUCAAUCUAACCUAUGGACGGGGAUAACCUCGGGAAACUGAGGAUAAUACCUGAUAGAUCAUAAUGCCUGGAAUGGUUUAUGGUUCAAAUGAUUCGUCGCCGUAGGGUGGGACUGCGGCCUAUCAGCUUGUUGGUGAGGUAAUGGCCCACCAAGGCUAUUACAGGUACGGGCUCUGAGAGGAGUAGCCCGGAGAUGGGUACUGAGACACGGACCCAGGCCCUAUGGGGCGCAGCAGGCGAGAAAACUUUGCAAUGUGCGAAAGCACGACAAGGUUAAUCCGAGUGGUUUCUGCUAAAGGAACCUUUUGUUAGUCCUAGAAACACUAACGAAUAAGGGGUGGGCAAGUUCUGGUGUCAGCCGCCGCGGUAAAACCAGCACCUCAAGUGGUCAGGAUGAUUAUUGGGCCUAAAGCAUCCGUAGCCGGCUCUGUAAGUUUUCGGUUAAAUCUGUACGCUCAACGUACAGGCUGCCGGGAAUACUGCAGAGCUAGGGAGUGGGAGAGGUAGACGGUACUCGGGAGGAAGUGGUAAAAUGCUUUGAUCUCUCGAUGACCACCUGUGGCGAAGGCGGUCUACCAGAACACGUCCGACGGUGAGGGAUGAAAGCUGGGGGAGCAAACCGGAUUAGAUACCCGGGUAGUCCCAGCUGUAAACUAUGCAAACUCAGUGAUGCAUUGGCUUGUGGCCAAUGCAGUGUUGCAGGGAAGCCGUUAAGUUUGCCGCCUGGGAAGUACGUACGCAAGUAUGAAACUUAAAGGAAUUGGCGGGGGAGCACCACAAGGGGUGAAGCCUGCGGUUCAAUUGGACUCAACGCCGGUA